UACGAAGGGGGCUAGCGUUACUCGGAUUGACUGGGCGUAAAGGGCGCGUAGGCGGCUUGUACAGUCAGACGUGAAAUUCCUGGGCUCAACCUGGGGGCUGCGUUUGAUACGUGCGGGCUUGAGUUCGGAAGAGGGUCGUGGACUUCCCAGUGUAGAGGUGAAAUUCGUAGAUAUUGGGAAGAACACCGGUGGCGAAGGCGGCGACCUGGUCCGAUACUGACGCUGAGGCGCGAAAGCGUGGGGAGCAAACAGG
rnacentral:rRNA from 1 species